GAGUGGGAUGCCAAAGAAGUAGUUAGUCUACCUUCGGGAGGACGAUUACCACUUUGUGUUUCAUGACUGGGGUGAAGUCGUAACNAGGUAACCCUAGGGGAACCUGGGGUUGGAUCACCUCCUUACCAAAAGUCGACAGGCAUUUUUGAUGCAGUGCCUACACAGAUUGUUUUGUAUUUAAUGAACGAGAACAAGAACCGAAUAAAAUGGGGCUAUAGCUCAGCUGGGAGAGCGCCUGAUUUGCAUUCAGGAGGUCAGCAGUUCGAUCCUGCUUAGCUCCACCACUUUUUGAAGGCUUGUAGCUCAGCUGGUUAGAGCGCACCCCUGAUAAGGGUGAGGUCGGCAGUUCAAGUCUGCCCAAGCCUACCACCUCUACUUAGUUUUGCUGGCUUGCGUUCUGCGAUGCUCAUGUGCUGAUUGCACACUGCGCUUCUCGAACACAACCCACCUUCACUAAGCGAGUUGGUCUGAGUAAUUAAAAUAAAUAAAAAGAAUACACAUUAAUGAAGUUGAUUUAUUGAUGUGUGUUUUUGCCGCAAGGCGAAAGUGAAACACAAUCUGUUCUUUAACAAUUUGGAAAGCUGAUAUUAGUAAUCAAUCAAAUAUGAGUAACUGAGAAAAAUAUCGAAAGGUGUUUUUUCAAGUAGCUACUCUAUCUGACGAUUCAAAAGCAUGCAUAAACCGGUUAAGGCGUUGUCGCAAACGUUCUUAAUAAUGCAUGUUGAUUAGUAAAUCAUGCAUACAACAAGUCCUAGGUCCGAUUUCAAAAGGCGGACAGUAGAUGAACAUCUACAGGCGAUGUUAUUACCAGCGUAUUAACUACUCAUGGUUAAUAAAGAGGUGAUAGCGCAACUUGUUAUUUCUCACAUCAAACCUAGUUUGGUAGGGGAAGAACAAAGGCGAAGAGAAGGAAGCAAAGACGAAGCUAUUUAGGGUUGNAUGAANNGNGUGAUUAAGCGUAUACGGUG
rnacentral:misc_RNA from 1 species